AGGAUUAUAUUUAAUUAUAAUAUUUGAUUUGCAUUCAAAAGGUGUCCUAAAGACUAAUCUU
rnacentral:tRNA from 1 species